ACUAACUUUUUAGUGUGGCAAGUCAUCUGUAUUUCCACAUAUUUAUGUUUUUAUGAGUCAUUGAUAAUUUUUGUAUUUUAUUGAGUAUUGAGUUAUCUUGAGUUUGGCGGGGAGAGCAGCGUUGGAUCAAGUUAAAAGGAUCCUGAUUUAAGCAAUGUGCUUUAAGUUCGCUCGCAAACACGAUCACUCCAACAUUGGUUUCAAGCCUCUUAUAAACUACCUAUAAUUUUACAACUCUUGAAGCGCUGUACUUAACAGACAUGCAAGUUGAGAUAAUUCUAAAAUUGCAUGCCCUUUGUUGCAUCUGUUGCAAGGUCCGUAAAAUUAGAACAAGCUAACUCUGCAGCGAAUUUGAUAGCUCAGAGCGUGUUAUCAUAAACAUCAAAUGUCUAUGAAAUUAUGGCGUUUAAAAUAACACUUCUACAGUCUGUGCUAUCAAACACGCUUGUUUGAUACAAUCCAUGUUAUCCAUGGGAUUUAAAAUUCUUCUUUUUCAGUCUACAGUAUUAUUUGUAUUAAAACGGGAAUCGCCUUAGUUACUGUAGCAACACUGCUAAUGUCACUUUAACAAAAACCACGAUUGCCGGAUGCGCAGUAAUGGUGGUGAGGUGUAGUGUGGACUUGGGUGGAAUUUGAGUGAUUUUGUGCUGGCGGAAUGAAUUCUCCCUCAUUGUGAUUAAUUGUUACCAUUUUCUUUUGUUGGAGCGUGUGUCCGUUAUGAACUAGUGUUGUGUAGCUUUAUCUGAAACCUGUUAACUGUGUGAGACAGCUGUGACUUGAUCAUUCGGUGAACUGCUGAGUUUUUUGCUCAAUGGUCAAUGCAUUGCGUUUAAUGGUGGACUUUUAAUAAAUAAAGGAAGCACGCGUAAUAUACUCGAAGUAAGUUUACCGAUGAUUCAACAAAGCUGCAUAUUGUAAAAUCCGAUGUUCAAGUUGCUCCAAGCCGCCUAGCCGCC